AGCACCGGCUAACUACGUGCCAGCAGCCGCGGUAAUACGUAGGGUGCAAGCGUUAUCCGGAAUUAUUGGGCGUAAAGGGCUCGUAGGCGGUUCGUCGCGUCCGGUGUGAAAGUCCAUCGCUUAACGGUGGAUCCGCGCCGGGUACGGGCGGGCUUGAGUGCGGUAGGGGAGACUGGAAUUCCCGGUGUAACGGUGGAAUGUGUAGAUAUCGGGAAGAACACCAAUGGCGAAGGCAGGUCUCUGGGCCGUCACUGACGCUGAGGAGCGAAAGCGUGGGGAGCGAACAGGAUUAGAUACCCUGGUAGUCCACGCCGUAAACGGUGGAUGCUGGAUGUGGGGCCCGUUCCACGGGUUCCGUGUCGGAGCUAACGCGUUAAGCAUCCCGCCUGGGGAGUACGGCCGCAAGGCUAAAACUCAAAGAAAUUGACGGGGGCCCGCACAAGCGGCGGAGCAUGCGGAUUAAUUCGAUGCAACGCGAAGAACCUUACCUGGGCUUGACAUGUUCCCGACAGCCGUAGAGAUACGGUCUCCCUUCGGGGCGGGUUCACAGGUGGUGCAUGGUCGUCGUCAGCUCGUGUCGUGAGAUGUUGGGUUAAGUCCCGCAACGAGCGCAACCCUCGCCCUGUGUUGCCAGCACGUCGUGGUGGGAACUCACGGGGGACCGCCGGGGUCAACUCGGAGGAAGGUGGGGAUGACGUCAGAUCAUCAUGCCCCUUACGUCCAGGGCUUCACGCAUGCUACAAUGGCCGGUACAACGGGAUGCGACCUCGUGAGGGGGAGCGGAUCCCUUAAAACCGGUCUCAGUUCGGAUUGGAGUCUGCAACCCGACUCCAUGAAGGCGGAGUCGCUAGUAAUCGCGGAUCAGCAACGCCGCGGUGAAUGCGUUCCCGGGCCUUGUACACACCGCCCGUCAAGUCAUGAAAGUGGGUAGCACCCGAAGCCGGUGGCCUAACCCCUUGUGGGAUGGAGCCGUCUAAGGUGAGACUCGUGAUUGGGACUAAGUCGUAACAAGGUAGCCGUACCGGAAGGUGCGGCUG
rnacentral:rRNA from 1 species